AUCCAGCUGACGUGUUUCAAAUAGGAUGAAAUGUGCUUCCUGGAU
rfam:Trichobilharzia regenti genome assembly, scaffold: TRE_scaffold0020042